rnacentral:rRNA from 1 species
CUACCAGACUCCUACGGGAGGCAGCAGUGGGGAAUAUUGCACAAUGGGGGAAACCCUGAUGCAGCGACGCCGCGUGAGUGAAGAAGUCAUUCGUUACGUAAAGCUCUAUCAGCAGGGAAGAGAAUGACGGUACCUGAGUAAGAAGCCCCGGCUAACUACGUGCCAGCAGCCGCGGUAAUACGUAGGGGGCAAGCGUUAUCCGGAAUUACUGGGUGUAAAGGGAGCGCAGACGGCAGUGCAAGUCUGGAGUGAAAGCCCGUGGCUUAACCACGGGACUGCUCUGGAAACUGUGCAGCUAGAGUGCAGGAGAGGCAGGCGGAAUUCCUAGUGCAGCGGUGAAAUGCGUAGAUAUUAGGAGGAACACCGGUGGCGAAGGCGGCCGCCUGGCCUGUUGCUGACGCUGAGGCACGAAAGCGUGGGGAGCAAAUAGGAUUAGAUACCCUCGUAC